rnacentral:rRNA from 1 species
GCUAGUAAUCGUGGAUCAGCAUGCCACGGUGAAUACGUUUCCCGGGGCCUUGUACACACCGCCCGUCAAACCAUGAGAGUUGGCAACACCCGAAGCCUGUAGCUUAACCGCAAGGAUGGCGCAGUCGAAGGUGGGGUCGAUGAUUAGGGUUAAGUCGUAACAAGGUACC